GAUGAACGCUGGCGGCGUGCCUAAUACAUGCGAGUCGAGCGAACAGAUGAGGAGCUUGCUCCUCUGACGUUAGCGGCGGACGGGUGAGUAACACGUGGAUAACCUACCUAUAAGACUGGGAUAACUUCGGGAAACCGGAGCUAAUACCGGAUAAUAUAUUGAACCGCAUGGUUCAAUAGUGAAAGACGGUUUUGCUGUCACUUAUAGAUGGAUCCGCGCCGCAUUAGCUAGUUGGUAAGGUAACGGCUUACCAAGGCAACGAUGCGUAGCCGACCUGAGAGGGUGAUCGGCCACACGGGAACUGAGACACGGUCCAGACUCCUACGGGAGGCAGCAGUAGGGAAUCUUCCGCGAGGGGCGAAAGCCUGACGGAGCAACGCCGCGUGAGUGAUGAAGGUCUUCGGAUCGUAAAACUCUGUUAUUAGGGAAGAACAAAUGUGUAAGUAACUAUGCACGUCUUGACGGUACCUAAUCAGAAAGCCACGGCUAACUACGUG
rnacentral:rRNA from 1 species